rnacentral:rRNA from 1 species
UACCAGCACCCCGAGUGGUCGGGACGUUUAUUGGGCCUAAAGCAUCCGUAGCCGGUUCUACAAGUCUUCCGUUAAAUCCACCUGCUUAACAGAUGGGCUGCGGAAGAUACUAUAGAGCUAGGAGGCGGGAGAGGCAAGCGGUACUCGAUGGGUAGGGGUAAAAUCCGUUGAUCCAUUGAAGACCACAAGUGGCGAAGGCGGCUUGCCAGAACGCGCUCGACGGUGAGGGAUGAAAGCUGGGGGAGCAAACCGG